CAUGCAGCUGCGUCCAGGUUCUCCAGAGCCGCAGCUCUCUCGAACCCAGGGUUCACUCUGGAUAUCUUCACGGAUGUUUCAGCUCCGGCCACGUUUAGGGGAAGAACUAACAAAGAAGGAAACCGAGGCACCUUAGGAAGAAGCGUGUGCCCCCUGCUCACACAAGCGAUCUGCAAAAUCCGAGAGCACAUCUGGAGACCUGGGUGAUGCCCAAUUGAUUCAAGUUAAUGUCGUCUCCCGUCUGAUCACAUGUUGGUCCCGAGAACAAUGAAUAGGAGCCCAGCACACGCUGGUGUGACAAGAGGACUCGCCGAAGUCAUCCUCCCGGAGUGAGGGACAAAUCAGCGCAGAGGUGCAGCCUGCUUCUCCUUUUAGAGCCAAAUAAAGACAAUUUU